AUACUUGCUUUGGCAGUACAUAUACUAAAAUUGGAAAGAUAUUGGGAAGAUUAGCAUGACCUCUGCAUGAGAAUGACAUAUAAAUUCAUGAAGUGUUCCAUAUUUUG